rnacentral:rRNA from 1 species
UACGUAGGGGGCAAGCGUUAUCCGGAAUUACUGGGUGUAAAGGGGGCGUAGACGGUAAUGUAAGUCUGGAGUGAAAGGCGGGGGCCCAACCCCCGGACUGCUCUGGAAGCUAUGUUACUAGAGUGCAGGAGAGGUAAGCGGAAUUCCUAGUGUAGCGGUGAAAUGCGUAGAUAUUAGGAGGAGCACCAGUGGCGAAGGCGGCUUACUGGACUGUAACUGACGUUGAGGCUCGAAAGCGUGGGGAGCAAACAGG